rnacentral:misc_RNA from 1 species
GAUGAAGAACGUAGCGAAAUGCGAUAAGUAGUGUGAAUUGCAGAAUUCAGUGAAUCAUCGAAUCUUUGAACGCACAUUGCGCCCCUUGGUAUUCCAUGGGGCAUGCCUGUUCGAGCGUCAUUUGUACCUUCAAGCUCUGCUUGGUGUUGGGUGUUUGUCUCGCCUCUGCGUGUAGACUCGCCUCAAAACAAUUGGUAGCCGGCGUAUUGAUUUCGGAGCGCAGUACAUCUCGCGCUUUGCACUCAUAACGACGACGUCCAAAAGUACAUUUUUACACUCUUGACCUCGGAUCAGGUAGGGAUACCCGCUGAACUUAAGCAUAUCAAUAAGCGGAGGA